UGAGGAAUAUUGGUCAAUGGACGGAAGUCUGAACCAGCCAAGUAGCGUGCAGGAAGACGGCCCUAUGGGUUGUAAACUGCUUUUGUAUGGGGAUAAAGUCAAUCACGUGUGAUUGUUUGCAGGUACCAUACGAAUAAGGACCGGCUAAUUCCGUGCCAGCAGCCGCGGUAAUACGGAAGGUUCGGGCGUUAUCCGGAUUUAUUGGGUUUAAAGGGAGCGUAGGCCGGAGAUUAAGUGUGUUGUGAAAUGUAGACGCUCAACGUCUGACUUGCAGCGCAUACUGGUUUCCUUGAGUACGCACAACGUUGGCGGAAUUCGUCGUGUAGCGGUGAAAUGCUUAGAUAUGACGAAGAACUCCGAUUGCGAAGGCAGCUGACGGGAGCGCAACUGACGCUGAAGCUCGAAGGUGCGGGUAUCGAACAGGAUUAGAUACCCUGGUAGUCCGCACAGUAAACGAUGGAUGCCCGCUGUUGGUACCUGGUAUCAGCGGCUAAGCGAAAGCAUUAAGCAUCCCACCUGGGGAGUACGCCGGCAACGGUG
rnacentral:rRNA from 1 species